rnacentral:lncRNA from 1 species
UAAACAAGAUACCGAUCUAGUCGGUCACUAGCAUAACAUUACCCUACGAAUCAGUCAACAUACUAAAUGCAUACAUACGCCUUUCCAGGCCAUGACCUUCCGGUCCACAUAGCAAUGCCUUCCGGCCCAUAACAUGUAAUGCCUUCCGGCCUGCAACAUAUAAUGCCUUCCGGCCCAUAUCAUAACAAAUGACAACUACCCGGAUUUCCAUCCGAUAAAAGGGUCGGCCUUGGUGCCAUAAACCCUAGCGAUAUAGUGAGGAUAACUCACCUCGAAACUGCCGACUGAACAGAUAGCUCAAGCUGCUCCGAUCACUGAUACGAUCUCCACCUCUGGACAGCCACCAAUGCACUGAACUCAAACAAUAAACAACAAUUACCAAAAUACCCCUGGAACCACUGGUCAAUCCUUGGUCAAAGACAAGGUCAAAGUCAACCCCUGACUGACCCUACUCGCCGAGUCAACCCUAUGACUCGCCGAGUCCCCAUACUCAGAACUUCACUUAACCCGCGACCUAACUCGCCGAGUCACCCCAAGACUCGCCGAGUUCAACGACUCUGAGUCCACUCGCCCUUGACUCACCGAUUCCUUAAGAUUCCCUUUCUACACGUCGAGUAUCCCCUUUUUACUCGACGAGUUCCUCCUGGAAGAAUCGUGGGGCCACCCCGACUCAACUCGCCGAGUCUGAAGAACGACUCGACGAGUCCCAGUUAAUCUUCAAGCUACUCGCCGAGUCUGAAGAACAACUCGGCGAGUCCAUGUCAUGCAGACGAGCAACUACUUCCUGAAUUACGUAUGGUCCCGAGAUAUACAAUCAUGGGACUUUCUGGACUUCUAAACAUCUUAUUACUGGGGUAUAAACGUCUGGGUAAUAACAUAAUAACCCAUCUAAUCACUAAGUGGGUUUCAUAAACCCUAGAUUCGUAUACACAUCAAAAUAACAGAAAUGGUCCGAGUGUUACCUGAAAACGCACUCUCUGUGUCCCCCAAACCUCAGGACUCGAUCCUCCUUGAUAUUCCUUUGGCCAAAUUCUUCUUCUUCUUGCCUAACAAGUUCUUCCAAGUUCCAAUAGCUUUCUCCCUUGCUCUAGACGUCCACAACGAUUAGGGUUCUUCUCAAUCGACCAAAAGACGGACAAUGACGGCCUAAGGGGCGUUAUAUACGAUCCAAAACCGAACGGUUAGGGUUUCUGCUGAACAGCGUCGACUCGCCGAGUCCAUAUCUGGACUCGUCGAGUCCAGUCGCGAACCCGCGACCAAGUCUGCGAUCCUACUCGGCGAGUCUAGGCUCCAACUCGCCGAGUCCCCUCUUAAAUCACCCCCAAAAACAUAAUUAUAUCAAUAUCUGAAAUUCCGGGCUGUUACAACUCUCCCCCACUAGAACUAGACUUCGCCCUCGAAGUCUCACUGUGAAAAUAGCCCCGGAUGCUGCUCCCAUCUCUCACGUUCCAGUUCACAGUUCAUUUCCGAUCCCCUCCGGUGCUGCCACUGGCUUCUCGGCAUAAUUCCGGCUCGCAUCCCCCUGAAUGUCUUCUAAUGGAACCACUGCCGACUCAUCGGCUAUACACUUUCUCAAUUGCGACACAUGAAAAUGUCGUGGAUUUGUCUCAAAUCCGUGGGCAACUCCAACCGAUGGGCCACCCGGUCUACCCCCGCAAUCACAUGAAAAGGUUCAAUAUACCGGGGCCCCAACUUGCCCUUCUUCCUGAAUCGAAUCACUUCUCUCCAAGGAGAGACCUGCAGGAAUACGAAGUCACCGACCUGAAACUCAAGCUCGGACCGGCGUCUGACUGCAUAACUUUCCUGUCGGCUCUGAGCGGUCAAUAACCUCUGUCUAAUCUGCUGAAUCUGCUCUGUUGACUGAAGCAUGCUCUCUGUACUGCCCAUCACUCCCUGCAACUGAAAAUUACCCAAGAUGCAACCCUGCUCUAAAUCUCAACGAUCACUCGACCCAUAAGGGUUAGGAAACCCUGAACCACCGGAUCCCCGAUCCAAAGCCCACUUUGUCCAUUCCGGACCGACUGAGAGAUCCAUUCUCCCUCUCAGAGCAACUCUCACAAGUUCCCUCUUGCCAUCACAUACACAUACUGAACUAGUCCCAACACUCGCAGGUUGAAAAACCCGAUACACUGAUGAUAUCCUCGAACAUCUCCCAAGACGAACCACUAAUAUCCGUCCUAUACCCUGAUCAGAAUCACACUGAGAAUUCAAGAUUCUCUCUCCCCCUGCAUCCCUUCCGAGUCUCGACAGUCAUCCCAACCCGGAUGGGUUCCUACUUCACUGCCGCGAACACGAUGCUCGAAACCAUACUUGAAAUACUCUAACCAUAACUCUGCUCUGCAGCUUUCACUUUCGUGAACUUGCACCCCUUCGGAGUUACACACCUUCCUCUUUUCCUUUUUCCAAGGAACCCUCUUGGCCAUAAUGCCACUCCAACCGGUGCCACGGUGCUCGCCCCAAGCGACACCACCCUUUUUGCGUAACCGCUAUUCACAUACUCUGGUUCUCAUUGCAGGGGCUCUCAAUCCCAUGCACUCUCUCCACUCAUCAAAAUCACUGCCUCAGCUAAACAAGAUCACUAACCCGGGGCCAGACCUUCCAAUGCAAUCACACUGCAACAUACACGAUCCGCAAUCUCAAACUGAUCCAGCAAUACCAACAGAGUCUCCAGCAUGACUGGACCGACUCUCAUAACACAUACUAGCCACUCGAGGCUAUAUCUCUGUGGGUCCGUACACCCAAACUCUGCGAACCCUCAGGUUCUAACUCUGGGAACCUUCCGGUUCCAGCUCUAGAAACAUGCACAACAUAAUCCCGUGGGAUUAAUGCAGUACAACCCAUCACGUACCUCAAACAUACCAAUACUCUGAUCGCAUAACCCCGGUUACUUACUCAAGCUUGAUCCCGGCCUUCUCUCAGGCCUCCACAAUCAAAUGCCCUAGGUCUGUAUCCCGCCCCGCAUACCCGACACUCGCUCUCGUCGGCCUAUACUCUGCGCUGACAAACACUGCUGAAUCCCAACAGCUAAGCACCCUCACAUACUCAUCGAUCUCCCGGAGAAUUCUCCAAUUCUCCCCCACUAAAGCACUGACUAACUGCCACCGAUCGUCAUUAACGACCUUUCAGAACAAUCCUGCACAAAGAGAACAUUUACCCACUGACUGCUUCCCACAAGCAUAAGCAACCCUCAGCAAAACACAUCUCCUCCCUGAUCAAUCCACUCAAAAGAAUCCGGUCUUUCAAUUAUCCACUCUACGACUGCAGAUGCUACCCGACAUUCAACCCAGUGCCGCAUCUCCACUAACAACCCUCACGAACGAUAACCAACGGAAUUCCCAACAAUAACCCGUAACCAAACCCACAACCUGCCAAAGGAUGAAUACCACAUCGAAAACCGCACAAGGCUACCGGCACCAAAACACCAAACUAUAACCAUACCAAACCAUCAGGGAACAACGAAUGCCAAAGCGAAAACCUGAAGCACCAAUCCAUAACCAUGCCAAACCCGCGAAACAACGAAUACCGCAUCGAAAUCCACACAAGAUACCAGCACAAACAAUACGCCACAAUCAACGCAAGCUAAUCAAGACAUCAAGAAAGCAUCAUACCCGCAGCUGCCUCCGGCACUGCUCCGUCUCCCUCUGCCGCAAGCCGAUAAGCACGACCCUGAGCCCUUGGGGCUCCGCUCCAUCCUGUCCUCCUCCUGAACUCCUCAAGGUGGCCGGUGCUAGAGCCUGCACCGGUCCUGCAGAAAGCUGUGGACAGUUGACCCUCAAAUGUCCAACCUGCCGACACUGAUAACAAAUCCUCAAAUCCCGAAUUGGCACUGACUGCCGACAAUCCCGUGCACCGUGCCCCUCCUUUCCGCACUUGCGGCAUGCACCACCGGACCAACAAGCUCCGGUGUAACCCCUCCCACACUUCCCACAAGUGUGGCCGCUCCGAUCCCCCAUUCUAACAUCUACGGUCCUGGACCGUUUCGGCGCCGACUGCGACUGCAUCGGGGCCUGCCUCAGCUCACGCAACUGCAACUCAACCUCUAACUCACGCCACAUGGCGGCCUCCUGCAACUCCAACAAGGUCUCACACCUCUGCGCAGACACGAACUGUCUGAUAUCCCUCUUGAGCAUACUCAGAUAUCAGGACAUCUGAGCCUGCUCCGAAGCGAACUCAGGGCAAAACAUCGCCCUCUCAAUAAACAUCCUGGUGAUCUUAGUCACCGACUCCGAAUCCUGCUUCAGCUCAAGGAACUCCCGAGAAAAUCUCUCCCUCUCAUCUCGCGGAACAUAGCGAGUACUGAACAUCUCUCUAACUGAUCCCCUGAAACCGCAGCCCUCUGCGCGUCGGAAUAUGACCCCAUGGUCAAUCUCCACCAAUAGGUCCAGAGCACACCUCGCCCUCUGAUCAGCAGGGCAUAAACUCGUGGAGAAACACCCCUCCACGUCUGAUAACCAUCUCAUAGCAGCAAUCGGGUCCUGAACUCCAUCGAAUGUGGGAGGCUUCGUAUAAUAGAAGUCCCGAUACUGAAAACCCCGACUAGCUCCUCUCUUUGCCGUUGCUACAGCCGCUGUAACUGCCGCGGCAGCCGUCUCUGCGAGAGCCGCAUAUCGCUCAUCAAACUACUCAACCAUGGCGGUCCUGAUCGACCCAAACAAUUCUGGCGACUCAGCCCGUAACAAUGCAGCAACCUCAUCACGCAGGAUCUCGCGAAUCCUCGCAUCCCGCUCGCUCGUGCUCGUCUGAUCGAUAACCUCCGACGGCACCGAUCCACCCGGAACUCGCUCUCCAGCUCCCGAUCCUGAUCCGGAUCCACUAUCAUCAUGCCUCGAAAUCUCCAUACUGAAGACACCCUACCAAUCUCAGACACUUCCCACAAUCCUGGGAUCCAACUCUCGCAACCCUACCCUAGAGACCAUGGUUUCCCUGAUACGCGUAUGGGUCCUGUGCUUUCAGUAGUACGGGCCCAUACUACCUUCCACACCUACCCAUAUUUGUAUGAAGUACUACCACAAUACCCUAGGGAACAUGCAUAACAACUAUCAACCCUCACCACUAGAGGAACACUGAGAAUAUCCCAUAAGGGACCCUAGGCUACAGGCAUCACAAAUCAGGCAACAUUAUCAUGAAUUCCUGAAGAUCCCUAGCCUAACUCUAGCAUGCUGUUCUAUCAAGCUCAAAUAAACAAAUAUCAUGUAUGGUAUCUUGGGGUUACUUACUGGCUCCGGCUGAUCGUACCUCCGCGUCCUCCUUUUACUAAAUUUGAAAACCAUUUUAAUUUCUCUUUUUAAAAUCCUCCUCGAUUUGAGACUGGAGUCACACGAAUGUUUCCCCAAUUCACUCAAACCAAGGCUCUGAUACCAACUUGUAACAUCCAAAAUUUCAAAACAAUUAAAACUUUUCAAAAUCACCCAUUUUAUUAACGUUGUUACAAAAAGGUUUUCAAUACAUUAUUAAACAGAGUAAUUUCCCAGGUUCAUAUCAUAAAACACCAACGCGAGGAACGGUACGAUCACGCCUUUGCCUUGCCACAGACUCUUGAGAACCUGAAACAUAAAACCACAACUGUAAGCCCGAAAGCUUAGUGAGAUACCCCCAGAAUACCAACCACAUAUACGCCUUUCCAGGCCCUGACCUUCCGGUCCAUGUGUCUCAGGGGACUUCCGUCCCUGCUGGGUAAACCUUCCGGUCCUACCCACGCCGACCUUCCGGUCCAUCACACAACAUAAUCGCCUUCCGGCCCAUAACAUAUUGCCUUCCGGCCCAUAACAUAUCGCCUUCCGGCCCAUAACAUAUUGCCUUCCGGCCCAUAAGCAUAAAAUGCAUAUAUAACAUAACAAAUAAUCAUAUAGCAGUUCAUAGACAACAAUCGAUCAACAGAUCACAUAUCAUAGCAUUACUCUAAACAAGAUACCGGUCUAGCCGGUCACUAGCAUAACAUUACCCUAUGAAUCAGUCAACAUACUAAAUGCAUACAUACGCCUUUCCAGGCCAUGACCUUCCGGUCCACAUAGCAAUGCCUUCCGGCCCAUAACAUGUAAUGACAACUACCCGGAUUUCCAUCCGAUAAAAGGGUCGGCCUUGGUGCCAUAAACCCUAGCGAUAUAGUGAGGAUAACUCACCUCGAAACUGCCGACUGAACAGAUAGCUCAAGCUGCUCCGAUCACUGAUACGAUCUCCACCUCUGGACAGCCACCAAUGCACUGAACUCAA